rnacentral:rRNA from 1 species
CAGCCGCCGCGGGAAUACGUAGGGUGCGAGCGUUAAUCGGAAUUACUGGGCGUAAAGCGUGCGCAGGCGGUUUUGUAAGACAGAGGUGAAAUCCCCGGGCUCAACCUGGGAACUGCCUUUGUGACUGCAAGGCUAGAGUACGGCAGAGGGGGAUGGAAUUCCGCGUGUAGCAGUGAAAUGCGUAGAUAUGCGGAGGAACACCGAUGGCGAAGGCAAUCCCCUGGUCCUGUACUGACGCUCAUGCACGAAAGCGUGGGGAGCAAACAGGAUUAGAUACCCCGGUAGUCCCUGUCUCUUAUAC